rnacentral:rRNA from 1 species
CCAAUAGCGUAUGUUAAAGUUGUUGCAGUUAAAAAGCUCGUAGUUGAAUUUCGGAAUCAAUUUGUUGGUCGUGCCUCGGUACGUACUGGUAUUAUUGGUUUCUACCUUCUGAAGAACCUUGAUGUCAUUAAUUUGGUGUCUUGGGGAAUCAGGACUGUUACUUUGAAAAAAUUAGAGUGUUUAAAGCAAGCAUACGCUUGAAUACAUUAGCAUGGAAUAAUGAAAUAGGACGUUUGAUUCUAUUUUGUUGGUUUCUAGGAUCGACGUAAUGAUUAAUAGGGAUAGUUGGGGGCAUUAGUAUUCAAUUGUCAGAGGUGAAAUUCUUGGAUUUAUUGAGGACUAACUACUGCGAAAGCAUUUGCCAAGGAUGUUUUCAUUAAUCAAGAACGAAGGUUAGGGGAUCGAAGACGAUCAGAUACCGUCGUAGUCUUAACCAUAAACUAUGCCGACUAGGGAUCGGAUGAUGUUAAUUUUUUAAUGACUCAUUCGGCGCCUUAC